AAGGAGUCGAACAUUUAUGCGAGUUUUUGGGUGUUAAACCCUUAAGCGUAAUGAAAGUGAACGUAUGUGAGAGCCCGUACGGGUGCAUCAUCGACCGAUCCUGAUGUCAUCGGAUGGAUUUGAGUAAGAGCAUAACUGUUCGGACCCGAAAGAUGGUGAACUAUGCGUGAAUAGGGUGAAGCCAGGGGAAACCCUGGUGGAGGCUCGCAGCGGUGCUGACGUGCAAAUCGAUCGUCAAAGCUGGGCAUAGGGGCGAAAGACUAAUCGAACCAUCUAGUAGCUGGUUACCGC
rnacentral:misc_RNA from 1 species